rnacentral:rRNA from 1 species
AUUGAACGCUGGCGGCAGGCCUAACACAUGCAAGUCGAACGGUAGCACAGAGAGCUUGCUCUUGGGUGACGAGUGGCGGACGGGUGAGUAAUGUCUGGGAAACUGCCUGAUGGAGGGGGAUAACUACUGGAAACGGUAGCUAAUACCGCAUAACGUCGCAAGACAAAAGAGGGGGACCUUCGGGCCUCGUGCCAUCAGAUGGGCCCAGAUGGGAUUAGCUAGUAGGUGGGGUAAUGGCUCACCUAGGCGACGAUCCCUAGCUGGUCUGAGAGGAUGACCAGCCACACUGGAACUGAGACACGGUCCAGACUCCUACGGGAGGCAGCAGUGGGGAAUAUUGCACAAUGGGGGCAAGCCUGAUGCAGCCAUGCCGCGUGUAUGAAGAAGGCCUUCGGGUUGUAAAGUACUUUCAGCGAGGAGGAAGGUGGUGAGGUUAAUAACCUCACCAAUUGACGUUACUCGCAGAAGAAGCACCGGCUAACUCCGUGCCAGCCGCCGCAGUAACAC